AGACCCGAAACCCGGUGAUCUAGCCAUGGGCAGGUUGAAGGUUGGGUAACACUAACUGGAGGACCGAACCGACUAAUGUUGAAAAAUUAGCGGAUGACCUGUGGCUGGGGGUGAAAGGCCAAUCAAACCGGGAGAUAGCUGGUUCUCCCCGAAAGCUAUUUAGGUAGCGCCUCGUGAAUUCAUCUCCGGGGGUAGAGCACUGUUUCGGCUAGGGGGCCAUCCCGGCUUACCAACCCGAUGCAAACUGCGAAUACCGGAGAAUGUUAUCACGGGAGACACACGGCGGGUGCUAACGUCCGUCGUGAAGAGGGAAACAACCCAGACCGCCAGCUAAGGUCCCAAAGUCAUGGUUAAGUGGGAAACGAUGUGGGAAGGCCCAGACAGCCAGGAUGUUGGCUUAGAAGCAGCCAUCAUUUAAAGAAAGCGUAAUAGCUCACUGGUCGAGUCGGCCUGCGCGGAAGAUGUAACGGGGCUAAACCAUGCACCGAAGCUGCGGCAGCGAACGUAUCACCCAAGACAACUUUACGGAGUUGACGAUUGACGGAGCGAAG
rnacentral:rRNA from 2 species